rnacentral:rRNA from 1 species
CCUACGGGUGGCUACAGUGGGGAAUAUUGGACAAUGGGCGAAAGCCUGAUCCAGCCAUGCCGCGUGUGUGAAGAAGGCCUUCGGGUUGUAAAGCACUUUCAGUGGGGAAGAAAGCCUUGGGGCUAAUACCCUCGAGGAAGGACAUCACCCACAGAAGAAGCACCGACUAACUCCGUGCCAGCAGCCGCGGUAAUACGGAGGGUGCGAGCGUUAAUCGGAAUUACUGGGCGUACAGCGCGCGUAGGCGGUCUGAUAAGCCGGUUGUGAAAGCCCCGGGCUCAACCUGGGAACGGCAUCCGGAACUGUCAGGCUAGAGUGCAGGAGAGGAAGGUAGAAUUCCCGGUGUAGCGGUGAAAUGCGUAGAGAUCGGGAGGAAUACCAGUGGCGAAGGCGGUCUUCUGGACUGACACUGACGCUGAGGUGCGAAAGCGUGGGUAGCAAACAGGAUUAGAUACCCGAGUAGUC